rnacentral:rRNA from 1 species
GACGUAGGGCGCGAGCGUUGUCCGGAUUUAUUGGGCGUAAAGAGCUCGUAGGCGGCUUGUCGCGUCGUCCGUGAAAACCUGCGGCUCAACUGCAGGCUGGCGGUCGAUACGGGCAGGCUGGAGUUCGGUAGGGGGAGACUGGAAUUCCUGGUGUAGCGGUGAAAAUGCGCAGAUAUCAGGAGGAACACCGGUGGCGAAGGCGGGGUCUCUGGGGCCCGAAUACUGACGCUGAGGGAGCGAAAAGCGUGGGGGGAGCGAA